UGGGCACUUUGAUGUCUUGAAAUAAGUAUUUGCCGCAUGACGCCACCAGGCAACGUUCUCUCAAUUUCGGUAUUUAAAAACAUCUGUCAGCCGACAUGGCAGCCCUGCCUGAGUAUGAGGGAACGCAAGAGACAAGCGAGAAAAUAGAGAGUCGUUCGUGUAGUGAUGGGCGAGUCCGAGAUGUUUAAACGAUCGAGAGAAUCGCCAUCGUUGCAAAAUUACAAUGGAGUCAAUAAUCGACUCGCUGCCCGACUAUACAACCGAGAUGUUUUUCGAUUGUUUCGCGUCGACUGACUUAUCACUGACGAGAUCGUGUGAAACAGCUCGUGGUGAAUUCCCCGAUUUGCGGGGAAUUUCAGUUUGCGUGGGGAAUCGGGGAAUGGGCCGUUUUUUGUGGAAUUUGCCUUGUCGCAUUUGCUGUCGUAUAACGAAUAAACAUAAGUUUCAUUAAUAUGGAAGAAAACCGGAACAACUUCAGCAAAGAAGUCCUAAAACUUACAUAACGUCGUUUAAAGCACAAACCGCGUAUCAAUAAAAUGCAAAACCUCGUAUGAGAGGUUGCCAAAACUUCCAAAGGCUAGUCCGAGAUGUUUUGACCGAUUUUUAUCAAACGCGACUGGCAAUUCGUUGCCACAGUCUGCGACAGAGAACCAUCGAGAUGUUUUAACAACCGCUGGCCGAGCCGAGAGGCCUUGGUAGAUUGUUAACGAAUAUGUUAUUUCAGCUUAAGCACGACUUUUUUCGGGUGGCAAAUCGUCUACGAGAGAAAAAAUCGAGAACAAUCGAGAUAUUUGAACAAUCGAGACAAUCGACUAAAACAUCUCGGACUCGCCCAUCACUACGUUCGUGUGAUCCCGUCGAGUCAACAUCGUCUGCGAGUCGUGAUUGUCAUUGAAUAUAUUCCGAUUAAUUAUAAAGUCAUUUUAAUAAAUAAUAUUAUAUACGUUCUAAAGUACUAGAGUAAACAGACAGUUCGUAUUUUAUUUAAAAGGAGAAGAGAUCGGUAAUCCUGACGGUCCCUGGCAUUAUCAGAAGUGCGCGUAAAUAAACCUCGCCGUAAAUAAAUGAAAACAGUGGCUAUAGAAAUUAAAUAAAUGACUGUGUGUGUGCACCAAUUGAAGUGCGAAUUACGAAAUUCUGACGCUCGUUAUGUGUAUAUAUAAAUAGUUCGCUAAUUUAUGAAAUUGCGACUCGCAAAAGUAGACAAAAUAUAUGUACAUACAUGUAAGUUUGUGUAUGCGAGAACAUUCGUGUGAGCAACGCAUCGAAAGUGCCACAACACGAAAACGAAACGAACGUUUAUUUGAAAUUUGCGGAUUCGUGGAAUUGCGUGGAUAUCAACGAAAUCAAAACAUUCGGCGAUACAAACAUAUCUACGCUCGAAGCGAACGUUGUGUUUGAAAUUGUCCGAAUUGUAACUUCGUGUUCCAGUUAAACAACAAACAUGAAUUUUCGUAGCAUGAAAGUUGCCGAGCUGCGCAGCGUAUGUCGCGAAAAUGGCAUUGCUACGCAAGGUAACAAAAACACUUUAAUCGAACGACUAGAAGCAAAUAAAAACGCAAACGCCAAUAUGAACGAACAAUUUCUAGGUGCAAACGAAUCGAUGUUGUUAGAAAGAAUCAACAUGCUAAAAAAACAAUUGCCGAGUGGCAAAUGCAAAAAAAGCAAAAUGAGCGUGAAGUGCAAAUACAAAGCGCUCAAUCUCAAAGAGAGCCAGCUUUUCGUCCGUCGUGUCGUCGCCGCGAGACGAACAUAUUGCAACGAGUGGAAAUACAUGGAUGUCGACGUCUUCUACGCAUGCGCCGCCAGCUAACGUAGCAUUAUCAUACAUACAUACACCGCGUAUGUGCACUACUACACAAGCACCGUAUGUGCCAGUGACUAGUAAUGGAAACCCGUAGAGUUCUUAUUUGAAUAGUGAAAAUGUUCAAAAUGUAAAUAAAACUCUGCACGUAAAUUUUGCAGAGGCACAAGCGCAAGCGAAUGGUGGAAAUAGUUUUAUGAAUACACGAUUUUAUAACGAACAAAAUAUGCGAAACGAUGUGCAACCGAAUAGUAUGUACGCUUCAUAUUAUCCGACCUAUCCGUUUGCAAAUUCCUAUUUACAAAAUCCGUUUAGUAAAGUGAAUGAAGUGGUUACUCUUUUACCCGAAUUUGACCCGUCUUCCGAGACAUCCCUAAUGCGAAUCAGUUUAUAAAGAGAAUUGAAAUGUUACAUGCCGCGUACCAAUGGGGUGAUCAAGUACUUUUAUUUGCCGUGCAACAAAAACUAAAAGGUUAUGCUAAAUACUGGAUCGUCGGCCAGUGCAUAUAUAAAUCGUGGUCAGAAUUCGUCGCGAAACUCUGUGCUGAUUUCUCAACGACUGAGAACGUCGCUGAUAUACAUAUUAAAAUGAACCGAACUCGCCGGCAGCGUAACGAAACCCCACAAGAAUAUUAUUUUAAAAUCGUUUCGAUUGUAACAAAAGGUGGAAUUUCUGAGUCCGGUAUCGCGCGUUACAUUGUAAAUGGCAUUAACGAUUCAGAUCUGCGUAAAAAGAUCUCGAAUGAAUACGAAACCUGUAAUAAGUUGCUACGCGAUAUUCAAAAUUAUUCGGUGUACAAUGAAGUAAAAUAAGAACCGCUUAACUAUAAACCGAAAAUCGUCGAAAAUAUGGCUGCGUAUAAAAGUCAAUCGGAAAAUGUUGAUGAACGCGGAAUAUCAUCAAACGCUAAAGUAGGUGAACGAGAAAUACCUAAAUCGAUAAAAUGCUAUAAUUGUUUAAAAGCGGGACAUAUUUCAAUAAAUUGCCCACAGCCGCAGCGAGCGGAAAGAUGUGAAACGUGUAACC